rnacentral:rRNA from 1 species
GAGUUUGAUCCAGGCUCAGGAUGAACGCUGGCGGCGUGCCUAACACAUGCAAGUCGAACGGAGUUACAGUGAAACCUAGUGAUCUGUAACUUAGUGGCGGACGGGUGAGUAACGCGUGGGUAACCUGCCUUGUACUGGGGGAUAACACCUGGAAACAGGUGCUAAUACCGCAUAAGCGCACAGAGCCGCAUGGCUCAGUGUGAAAAACUCCGGUGGUACAAGAUGGACCCGCGUCUGAUUAGCCAGUUGGGGGGGUAACGGCCCACCAAAGCGACGAUCAGUAGCCGGCCUGAGAGGGUGAACGGCCACAUUGGGACUGAGACACGGCCCAAACUCCUACGGGAGGCAGCAGUGGGGAAUAUUGCACAAUGGGGGAAACCCUGAUGCAGCAACGCCGCGUGAGUGAAGAAGUAAUUCGUUAUGUAAAGCUCUAUCAGCAGGGAAGAAAAUGACGGUACCUGAGUAAGCAGCCCCGGCUAACUACGUGCCAGCAGCCGCGGUAAUACGUAGGGGGCAAGCGUUAUCCGGAUUUACUGGGUGUAAAGGGAGCGUAGACGGUUGUGCAAGUCUGAAGUGAAAUGC